AGCUAACCACGGUAGGGUCAGCGACUGGGGUGAAGUCGUAACAAGGUAGCCGUAGGGGAACCUGCGGCUGGAUCACCUCCUUUCUAAGG
rnacentral:rRNA from 1 species